CAGGAGUUCCCGGCAGUGGCAGCCCCGGGGGGCGCGGCGCGGAGCGAGGCCGGCGGCCGCAGAGGGUGACAGGGCCUCCCCGGGGAGGACCCUCAGGUGGACCGGCAGGAGAGAAAAAACUACAAAACAGUGGGUUUUAACUCAUUUUGGGAAAAAUAUGACUUGAAACUGAUGUACAGACACAAGCAUGCAGAGAAGUCUGAGCGAUCAUACCAAAUGCUGGCAGCUGGUGUCUCUGGAUGGAGGACUUACGGGUCAUUCUCUGUGCAAAAGAUAGAGCCUGGAGUGUGCUGAGGCUCCAGGCUCCUGCUUCAGAUGGCAAAACAGAGGCUUGGGAAUCUACCUGGCUCUGCCUCAGCCGGAUCUGAGAAUCUAAAGGCAGCCAGCUAAGAUCAUGAACUCCUAAAGGCAUACAGGAAUUUAGCCUCCAGCCCAACACUAGGGAACACAUGGUAUAUCAUGGCAAGGUCAACAGAAAUAAAGUAAGUGAUAUACAUAU